rnacentral:rRNA from 1 species
AACGAACGCUGGCGGCGUGCCUAACACAUGCAAGUCGAACGAGAAAGGGGCUUCGGCUCCGAGUAAAGUGGCGCACGGGUGAGUAACACGUGGGUAACCUGCCUCUAAGAUUGGGAUAACUCGUCGAAAGAUGAGCUAAUACCGGAUAAGACCACGGUUCCCGAGGGAAAAGGGGUCAAAGGUAGCCUCUGCUUGCAAGCUAUCACUUAGAGAUGGGCCUGCGCACCAUUAGCUAGUUGGUAGGGUAACGGCCUACCAAGGCAAAGAUGGUUAGCUGGGCUGGGAGGAUGCGCCGACCCACUGGAACUGGGACACGGUCCAGACUCCUACGGGAGGCAGCAGUGGGGGAUACUGCGCAAUGGGCGAAAGCUCGACGCAGCAACGCCGCGUGGGUGAUGAAGGCCUUCGGGUCGUAAAGCUCUGUCGGGAGGAACGAAUGCUCCCAAGGUUAACAGCCUCGGGAGGUGACGGUACCUUCAAAGGAAGCACCGGCUAACUCUGUGCCAGCAGCCGCCGUAA